UUGAUUUAUGACUGUUCCCUUUACACAAACUGUUAAACUCCCUUUGCCAUUCACUAGAUUUGGAUGUAAACCCUCAAAUUAAAGCUGAAAGUCUGCAGUUUGAAGCCUAUCCUGUUCAUUUCAUUUCAAAUCAAUGGUGGUGUUUGCAGCCCUAAACAAUACUUAUGGACCUGUCUGUAACAGUCGUUCAACCAGCUAGACGGGGAUUGAGCAAUCUUCCUGUCACAGAGGAAGUGCCUCACCCUGCCGCCUCGCUCGCUAUUGGUCCCUUCUCUGAUCAACUGUGAUUUUGACCCAGUGAGGGGGGGCUUACAAGAUUGAAAAGGGUUUGAGAAAGGCAGAAGGAGGCUGCACUGAAUACUUCUCGGCUUUACUGCCUGUUGGGCUUGGAGGUAAGAAGGCCAUUCGUAACUUUCCCCACUAGAAAACUCACUGUGAACUCUGUUUCUAAUGUUUAAUGCCGAUAGAUCAGCUGAAACAUACUGCACUUGUGAAAUUGUCAUACCAUCUGCUGCAUAUGUGUAAUUAUGUAUGUUUGCCUAAGUGUAUUUUACAGAAAAGGUGUGGUUAACCUAUUUGCCAUACAUACUUACAGUGUGGACAUAAUGCAUAUACUGUACAGGUACUUUGAUUGGUUUAGUUUUCUUUUUAAAAAGCACUUUAGUUUUACAAUGCAGAAUGGCAACUGAUUGACCUCCCAGUGUGGAACAGUCUCAUUUUAUAAUGUGCUGUUUGUAACUAUAUAUAUAUAUAAUAAAUAAUUGCAAUCCCUUACCUGAUGUGUUCUAGCAUAGGAGUCUUCAGAUUUCUUGGUGUGGCUACUCCCAAUCCUUGUACCAGUGUCUUGAUUCCACACGGACGCUGGACUGGUUUGGGGGGAGUUGUUCCAAGUAAUAACGGCUGGAAAUUUAUUGCUCCGUUCCUUAGAAACUAAAUCCAUUACAUGGCCAAAAUGAUGUUUUAGUCUUGAUUUUAUGUGACAGGUGAAUGGAGUCAUCGUUGUCGUCGUCAUCAUAGUACUGUAUAAUUUGUGGAAGUAAAUAAACAAAAGAGGAAUGUGAAGACAAAAUCAUGUUCCUUUUGCGAGGUGGAUGUCUCUCUUCUGUCAUAGAUGUGAACAAGGUCAAAUACAGGAAGCCUAUUCUUGAUCAAAUUGUAAUACAAGCACAUUUUUGAUGGGAAAUGUGAGCGAGCAAUAAAAACAUUCUAAUUUUCGUGUG